rnacentral:rRNA from 1 species
AACAGGAUUAGAUACCCUGGUAGUCCAUGCCGUAAACGUUGGGCACUAGGUGUGGGGGACAUUCCACGUUUUCCGCGCCGUAGCUAACGCAUUAAGUGCCCCGCCUGGGGAGUACGGCCGCAAGGCUAAAACUCAAAGGAAUUGACGGGGGCCCGCACAAGCGGCGGAGCAUGCGGAUUAAUUCGAUGCAACGCGAAGAACCUUACCAAGGCUUGACAUGGACUGGAAACACCUGGAAACAGGUGCCCCGCUUGCGGCCGGUUCACAGGUGGUGCAUGGUUGUCGUCAGCUCGUGUCGUGAGAUGUUGGGUUAAGUCCCGCAACGAGCGCAACCCUCGUUCCAUGUUGCCAGCGCGUAAUGGCGGGGACUCAUGGGAGACUGCCGGGGUCAACUCGGAGGAAGGUGGGGACGACGUCAAAUCAUCAUGCCCCUUAUGUCUUGGGCUUCACGCAUGCUACAAUGGCCGGUACAAAGGGUUGCGAUACUGUGAGGUGGAGCUAAUCCCAAAAAGCCGGUCUCAGUUCGGAUUGGGGUCUGCAACUCGACCCCAUGAAGUCGGAGUCGCUAGUAAUCGCAGAUCAGCAACGCUGCGGUGAAUACGUUCCCGGGCCUUGUACACACCGCCCGUCAAGUCACGAAAGUUGGUAACACCCGAAGCCGGUGGCCUAACCCCUUGUGGGAGGGAGCUGUCGAAGGUGGGACUGGCGAUUGGGACUAAGUCGUAACAAGGUAACC